CAAAUUUUUACCUUUCCUCCAAAUUCUGAGAUAGCAAAAGGAAAAAUGGAGCAGCCGGUGAAUCCAAAUCCUCCCUGCAAUCUCAAUUCGUUCUCCUAAUUCCAAAGAGGUGAUUCCUUGCAAGCUAUUUGAAAACAAAACGGCGAAAAAACGAGUUGAGGAUUUAAGAGAACGAGGUUGAGCGUGACGG